GGGGAUCUGGUUUAGGGGUAUAACAUCUCAUUCGCAUCACUUCGUGACUUGAGAAGGUCUUGGGUUCGAUUCCCAAGUUCUCCA